rnacentral:rRNA from 1 species
AAAUUGAAGAGUUUGAUCAUGGCUCAGAUUGAACGCUGGCGGCAGGCCUAACACAUGCAAGUCGAACGGUAACAGGAAGCAGCUUGCUGCUUUGCUGACGAGUGGCGGACGGGUGAGUAAUGUCUGGGAAACUGCCUGAUGGAGGGGGAUAACUACUGGAAACGGUAGCUAAUACCGCAUAACGUCGCAAGACCAAAGAGGGGGACCUUCGGGCCUCUUGCCAUCGGAUGUGCCCAGAUGGGAUUAGCUAGUAGGUGGGGUAACGGCUCACCUAGGCGACGAUCCCUAGCUGGUCUGAGAGGAUGACCAGCCACACUGGAACUGAGACACGGUCCAGACUCCUACGGGAGGCAGCAGUGGGGAAUAUUGCACAAUGGGCGCAAGCCUGAUGCAGCCAUGCCGCGUGUAUGAAGAAGGCCUUCGGGUUGUAAAGUACUUUCAGCGGGGAGGAAGGGAGUAAAGUUAAUACCUUUGCUCAUUGACGUUACCCGCAGAAGAAGCACCGGCUAACUCCGUGCCAGCAGCCGCGGUAAUACGGAGGGUGCAAGCGUUAAUCGGAAUUACUGGGCGUAAAGCGCACGCAGGCGGUUUGUUAAGUCAGA